rnacentral:rRNA from 1 species
AGUGAACGCUGGCGGUAGGCCUAACACAUGCAAGUCGAACGGCAGCACAGUAAGAGCUUGCUCUUACGGGUGGCGAGUGGCGGACGGGUGAGGAAUACAUCGGAAUCUACUUUUUCGUGGGGGAUAGCGUAGGGAAACUUACGCUAAUACCGCAUACGACCUACGGGUGAAAGCAGGGGAUCUUCGGACCUUGCGCGAUUGAAUGAGCCGAUGUCGGAUUAGCUAGUUGGCGGGGUAAAGGCCCACCAAGGCGACGAUCCGUAGCCGGUCUGAGAGGAUGAUCAGCCACACUGGAACUGAGACACGGUCCAGACUCCUACGGGAGGCAGCAGUGGGGAAUAUUGGACAAUGGGCGCAAGCCUGAUCCAGCCAUACCGCGUGGGUGAAGAAGGCCUUCGGGUUGUAAAGCCCUUUUGUUGGGAAAGAAAAGCAGCAGGUUAAUACCCCGCUGUUCUGACGGUACCCAAAGAAUAAGCACCGGCUAACUUCGUG